GCGGGACGGUCUGUCGCUCGUGCGUCAUGGCACGGGAGGAAAGUCCGGGCAACGCAGGGAACCAUGCCGGUUAACGGCCGGUGGGCAGCAAUGUUCAGGCAGCGUAACAGAAAAUGACCGCCCGCAAGGGUAAGGGUGAAAAGGCGAGGUAAGAGCUCACCGCACACAUGGCAACAUGGCGUGGCUGUACGUCCCAUGGGUUGUAAGAUCAUGUAUAUCGGUUUACUGGAAGCAAUUCCGGUUGAAGGGUGUCCCGCCCGAUGCCGAGGGGUAGAUUGCUGGAGCCCAGUUGAGAGACUGGGUCGAGAUUGAUGACAGACGCCGCGCUCCGCGUGCGGUACAGAACCCGGCUCACAGGCCCGCUGU
rnacentral:RNase_P_RNA from 1 species